rnacentral:rRNA from 1 species
CCAGACUCCUACGGGGGCAGCAGUGAGGAAUAUUGGUCAAUGGGCGGAAGCCUGAACCAGCCAAGUCGCGUGAGGGAUUAAGGCCCUAUGGGUCGUAAACCUCUUUUGUCAGGGAGCAAGGUCGUCCACGUGUGGGCGCAUGGAGAGUACCUGAAGAAAAAGCAUCGGCUAACUCCGUGCCAGCAGCCGCGGUAAUACGGAGGAUGCGAGCGUUAUCCGGAUUUAUUGGGUUUAAAGGGUGCGUAGGCGGACUGGAAAGUCAGCGGUAAAAUCGAGAGGCUCAACCUCUUUCCGCCGUUGAAACUGUCGGUCUUGAGUGGGCGAGAAGUAUGCGGAAUGCGUGGUGUAGCGGUGAAAUGCAUAGAUAUCACGCAGAACUCCGAUUGCGAAGGCAGCAUACCGGCGCCCGACUGACGCUGAGGCACGAAAGCGUGGGUAUCGAACAGGAUUAGAUACCCGCGUA